GAGGCCGCCCUGGAUAGGUCAGGGCGGCGGGCUCCAGACCCGUAGGACGUGGGUUCAAAUCCCACCGGCCCCACCA
rnacentral:tRNA from 1 species